ACCUGACCCCAUGCCGAACUCAGAAGUGAAAACGCCGUAGCGCCGAUGGUAGUGUGGGGUCUCCCCAUGUGAGAGUAGGGAACUGCCAGGC
rnacentral:rRNA from 1 species